rnacentral:lncRNA from 1 species
GUUCCCUUCGAAGCAGUGCCGGAUGAUGAGGCGGGAAAUGAUGAUGAAUGAUUUUUUUAUUGCGAUAUGUUUUAUUGUGCCCUCCUUAUGUAAUUAUUUUUUUUCUUUCCAAUAAAUAAACUAGUUUUAUUUACAUCUUUGGCAUCUUCUUAUAUUAGUUUUUGCUAAUGGCAAAAGGGGGAAGAUAACGUGUAUGCACUCUCAAUAUUUAUAAGCUUAAAUUGAGGGGGGAUUCAUAUAUUGAGGGGGAACUA